rnacentral:rRNA from 1 species
AGCGAACGCUGGCGGCAGGCCUAACACAUGCAAGUCGAACGAACUCUUCGGAGUUAGUGGCGGACGGGUGAGUAACACGUGGGAACGUGCCUUUUGGUUCGGAAUAACUCAGGGAAACUUGUGCUAAUACCGAAUGUGCCCUUCGGGGGAAAGAUUUAUCGCCAUUAGAGCGGCCCGCGUCUGAUUAGUUAGUUGGUGAGGUAACGGCUCACCAAGGCGACGAUCAGUAGCUGGUCUGAGAGGAUGACCAGCCACACUGGGACUGAGACACGGCCCAGACUCCUACGGGAGGCAGCAGUGGGGAAUCUUGCGCAAUGGGCGAAAGCCUGACGCAGCCAUGCCGCGUGAAUGAUGAAGGUCUUAGGAUUGUAAAAUUCUUUCACCGGGGACGAUAAUGACGGUACCCGGAGAAGAAGCCCCGGCUAACUUCGUG